rnacentral:rRNA from 1 species
UACGUAGGGGGCAAGCAUUGUCCGGAAUCAUUGGGCGUAAAGAGCGCGUAGGCGGCCAGAUAAGUCCGGUGUGAAAGUCACAGGCUCAACCUGUGAAUGCCGCUGGAAACUGUCUGGCUAGAGUCCGGAAGGGGCGAGUGGAAUUCCUGGUGUAGCGGUGAAAUGCGCAGAUAUCAGGAGGAACACCGGUGGCGAAGGCGGGUCUCUGGGCCGUAACUGACGCUGAGGAGCGAAAGCGUGGGGAGCGAACGGG